rnacentral:rRNA from 1 species
CAGUCGCGUUCUCUGGGAUUCAGCCUUGCUUUUGCUUGGUGCAUUUCCUAGUCUACGGGCCAGCAUGGAUUUCGAUCGGUGGAAAAGGGUUGGGGGAAUGUGGCACCUCCGGGUGUGUUAUAGCCUCUUGCUGAAUACGGAUUGCGAGACCGAGGGACGCAGCGCGCCGUAAGGCAAAAGCUUCGGCUUUUUCGCGUCUUAGGAUGUUGGUGAAAUGGCUUUAAACGACCCGUUCUUGAAACACGAACCAAGGAGUCUAACAUA